CUGGGGCCGAGUUCAGGCUGAGGGGAUGGUGGUGUGUGAUGUGUGCCAUGAGGUUCAGCAGGCAGAGCAUCAGAAACCUCUCCAGGAUGGGUAAUGCUUCACAUAGGGAGCCCAGUGUGCAGCCUGGGGUGGCUGCAGAGGAGCGUUGCACUUGUCUUUCUUGAUUUACGUUGCUUAAGGAACCUUCCAAAGGAGGUUAAUUGGCUUUCUGGUUUUGUGGAGUCCCUGCAGAUUGUAGUGUGGAUAUGUUAACUGUGGAGGAAGGAGUCAGAAAGGGCUCUUAUCACUGCUCUGUCCUGGGACAAACACACGUUUCCUGUUCUUGAAACAGGCCAAACAAGCGUGCUGUGCUCUUUGCAUGUUGCGCUUCCCAUCUCUGUGACCAGCAGCACAGAGAUCUUUGCAAACCGCAUGCAAACAAGACGUGACACGAAAGAAUGUGUUUGGGAAUGAGCUUCUAUUUGUUGAGAGGCUGCUGACCAACAGCUGCUUGUUUGUGAAGGCUCCUUGGAUGCUGCCAGUGUCGUACAAUGGGCACAGCAGUGCUCUGCUGCUUCAGCAGUGGUUUAGUUGGACAUCUGGGUGCAGCCUUGGGUGCAUUACUGAGAGGAAUUGAGAGCUGGGGCUUCUAUCUGACGGCAUGGGUGUAUUUACAGGUGUACAGGUGUACAUGGGUGUAUUUACAGAAGGUUUACAGGUGUACAUGGGUGUAUUUACAGAAGGUAGAUGGCUUUAGUGGUUAGAGUCAACGUUAUAACUUGUGCUAAGAGGAACAAAGCUGGGGUGUGGGUUUCAUCAGACCAGCCUGAUGCUGGAUAAGGACAAACGUAAGAGAGGUCUCAGGGAGUAAGACUGACUCUAGUGUCCUAGGAGGGCUUCAGUGGGCUGCAGUGAGGGGUUUGCUCUGAGCUGUGUGUGGGGAAGAUGCUGAAGGCUGUGUGGGACACUUUGUAUGUGCCUUCACCUCCCCACCCCUUCCUAAUACAGCGUUUGGAAGAGACCAGUUGUUGUUUUUCUCCUAGCCCAGGCUGCCCAGAGCCACAUCCAACCUGGCCUUGAAUGCCUCCAUGGAUGGGGAACCCACAGCUCUCUGGGCAUCAUGUUCCAAUGCAUCACCACCCUCUGAGUUACAGCUUCUUUCCUACCACCUGACCUAAACCUCCCUUCUCUUAAGUGUUGUGUUCCUUCAAUUUCUCUGAGUCUGUUAAUAAAUUCAUAGCGAUGGUAAAACACAAAAUCAAA